rnacentral:rRNA from 1 species
GACGAACGCUGGCGGCGUGCCUAAUACAUGCAAGUCGAGCGAAGCGGCGGAUGGGUGAGUAACGCGUGGGUAACCUGCCCUUAAGUCUGGGAUACCAUUCUGAAACAGAUGCUAAUACCGGAUACUAGAGGAUGGACCUGCGAUGCAUUAGCUCGUUGGUAAGGUAACGGCUUACCAAGGCGAUGAUGCAUAGGCGAGUUGAGGGACUGAGCCGCCACAGGGAGACGGAGACACCGCCCAAACUCCUACGGGGUGCAACAGGAGGGAAUGUCCCAAAAGGUACGAAAGUCUGAGGGAGCAACGGCGCGUGUGGGAAGAGGGGUUGCGGAUCGUAAAGCUCUGUUGUUGGUGAAGCGGUAAUCAACCAGAAAGUCACGGCUAACUACGUGCCAGCAGCCCGGUAAUAC